AGAAAGUUAGUCUAAACAAGACAGUUGAUUUCGACUCAACAAAUCACAGCACAAACCCUGUGACCUUCUU
rnacentral:tRNA from 1 species